UGUUGAAAACUUCAUCUAUUUUCUAUUGUUAAAAAUUGAAGUGGCUGCUACAAUAACCAGACAGUAACAUGUACCUCAUGGUGAGUGGUGACAUACAAAAACUAAUUUUUAAUAUUAGAAAUGGAUAGAAUUUCUAACA
rfam:Gossypium raimondii Chr05_contig_1354, whole genome shotgun sequence.